rnacentral:SRP_RNA from 1 species
CUGUGGGUGCCUCCGAAUAGGAGCUGGUGAACCCCGCCAGGCCCGGAAGGGAGCAACGGUAAGCCAGUUAUCCUAUGUCGGAGGUUUACCCACUUUUA